GAGGACAAGAUGGCAGAGGAGUAGGGGGACACGCUCACCCUCUCCCACAAACACAACAAAAAAAAGCACAUCUACAGAAUAAAUGACUCGCACAGAACAGCAACCAAUCGCUGGCAGAGGAACCUAAACUCCAAUAACGGCAAGAAAUUCGUGACAUUAUUGGGCAGAACAGGAGAAAAGAGGAGAGUGAGAGAAGGUGAAUCCGAGCGGGACGGGCGCUCCCGAAAGGGAACUGCGGAGGAGAAAGGGAUCCCGCACCCUGGAAAGUCACCUACCGGGCGAAAGAUCAAACGAACCGGAGGAAUCUCCAGAUGCAGAGAAGAGUGUAGCAGUAAGUUGGAGUACGGAAAAGCCGAUCAAGAACCCAACGGACCAUCUGAACUACGGGCACAGUCACCAAAAAUUGAGACGCCUGGGGGGGGGCUGGGCACCGAGACCUCGCCUCCAGAGGAUACAGAAGUUCCUGGGCCAGGGAUCGAAUCUGAGCUGAGCUGUGACCUAUAUAUCUCAGUUGCAGCAGUGCUGGAUCCUUAACCCACUGGGCCAUAGCAGGAACUCCGGAAUUCACCCCUUGAUACGUGCUACAUACGGUGAAAGGAAAUUUCCUGUUUAAUACUAACAAGAAUUCUCUGAGGUAUCUACAACUAUCAUCACCAUUUUGCAGAUGAGGAAAUGAGGCUGAUGGCAAUGCUGUCACCCUCCAGUGAUCCUUCUCAGAAAUGGCUCUAGAUGCAGCAUCUCUGCUUGAUUGUAGCAAUCUGACUUUAUUUUAAAAGAUACAUGGAGAAAGGCCACAAUAGCAACUUCUCAUAUCUAGACCUGGAAUAGACAGAAGAGAGCUGUGAAAACCUGGAAAGUACUGCUUUGGGAUUUUCUUAACAUUGAGAAAAUGGAGGAGUCCUUGUUACUAACAGAACAGGAGGUGGCCUCCAACAAGUUUUAACAGAGGUAUUCAGAUUUUCAUGAUAGUGAAAGACUGUGGCAAGAAUGAGAUGUUUCUUUGGAUUUGGUGAUACAGUGAAGGUUAAUAUCAGAGGUCUGUGCAAGAGUGUCCACGUCUGAGACAAGAGUGCUGAUCCUCAUGCAGGAGAAGGUGGAGAAUGACUGCAUAGGGGACACUUUUGCGGGAGAUGAAAAUGUAUACAUCUGUCUAAAUGAACCUAAAUGAAUGUAUUAAAUGUGUGCAUUAAAUUAUACCAAAUAGAGUUGAUUCAUAAGUAAAAAAAUAUAUUAUAUAUAUAUAGUUACAUAUGUAUAUACAUUACAAAUUGUGUGGUUUGGUUUGGUUUUGUCUUUUAAAAUAGGAUUAAUGUUACAUGGGUAGCACAAUGUCCAGUACAGAAAGAGAUGUAAUUAAGGACUUCCUGUCGUGGCUCAGUGGUUAACGAAUCCAACUAGGAAGCAUGAGAUUGCAGGUUCAAUUCCUGGCCUUGCUCAGUGGGUUAAGGAUCCAGUGUUGCCGUGAGCUGUGGUGUUUGGGCCACAGAUGCAACUUGGAUCCCGCCUUGCUGUGGCUGUGGUGUAGGCUGGCAGCUACAGCUCCCAUUAGACCCCUAGCCUGGGAACCUCCAUAUGCCACAGAAGUGGCCCUAGAAAUGGCAAAAAGACAAAAAAAAAAAGAGAGACAUAAUUAAAAUUAAUUGUAAAAAUACAUAGAACUACCAUAUGAUCCAGCAAUCUCACUCUUGGGCAUAUAUCCAGACAAAACUUUCUUUAAAAAAGACACAUGUUCAUUGCAGAACUAUUCACAAUAGCCAAGAUAUGGAAACAACUCAAAUGUCCAUCAACAGAUGACUGGAUUAGGAAGAUGUGAUACACAUACACAAUGGAAUGCUACUCAGCCAUAAAAAAGAACAAGAUAAUGCCAUUUGCAGCAACCUGGAUGGAACUAGAGACUCUCAUCCUGAGUGAAGUAAGUCAGAAAGAGAAAGACAAGUACCAUAUGAUACCAUUUAUAUCUGGAAUCUGAUAUAAGGCACAAAUGAAACUUUCCACAGAAAAGAAAAUCAUGGACUUGGAAAAUAGACUUGUGGUUGCCAAGGGGGAGGGAGUGGGGUGGAUGGGAGCUUGGGGUUAAUAGAUGCAAACUAUUGCCUUUGGAAUGGAUUAGCAAUGAGAUCCUGCUGUGUAGCACUGAGAACAAUGUCUAGUCACUUCUGAUGGAGCAUGAUAAUGUGAGAAAAUAGAAUGUGUACAUGUAUAUGUAACUGGGUCACCAUGCCGUACAGUAGGAGAAAAAAAUGGGGAAAUAACAAUUAAAAAUAAAUAAAUGAAGUUUAAAUGUUAAAUAAAAAUUUUUUUUUAAAUAAAAUUAAUGGUAAACACAUUUUAGCCCAUAAUGUAUGUUAUAUUUGAGUUCACCUCUUAAAAUAUUAAACUUUAGUGUAAGUAAUCAA
rnacentral:lncRNA from 1 species